CCAAUAGCGUAUAUUAAAGUUGUUGCAGUUAAAAAGCUCGUAGUUGAAUUUCGGAAUCAAUAAAUCGGUCGUGCCUUGGUACGUACUGGUAUCAUUGGUUUCUCCUUUUUGACGAACCAUGAUGUAAUUAAUUUGGUGUUAUGGGAAGUUAGGACGGUUACUUUGAAAAAAUUAGCGGGUUUAAAGCAGGCUUUGGCUGGAAUACAUUAGCAUGGAAUAAUGAAAUCGGACGUUCGAACCUAUUUUGUUGGUUUCUAGGAUCAACGUAAUGAUUAAUAGGGAUAGUUGGGGGCAUUAGUAUUCAAUUGUCAGAGGUGAAAUUCUUGGAUUUAUUGAAGACUAACUACUGCGAAAGCAUUUGCCAAGGAUGUUUUCAUUAAUCAAGAACGAAAGUUAGGGGAUCGAAGACGAUCAGAUACCGUCGUAGUCUUAACCAUAAACUAUGCCGACUAGGGAUCGGAUGAUGUUAAUUUUUUAAUGACUCAUUCGGCGCCUUACG
rnacentral:rRNA from 1 species